rnacentral:rRNA from 1 species
GACGAACGCUGGCGGCGUGCCUAAUACAUGCAAGUCGAACGAAGCCUUCGGGCUUAGUGGCGAACGGGUGAGUAACACGUUGGUACCUACCCUCUAGUGGGGAAUAACUGGCCGAAAGGUCGGCUAAUACCGCAUAAUACCGCAAGGUUAAAGCAGCAAUGCGCUAGAGGAGGGGCCUGCGUCCCAUUAGCUUGUUGGUAGUGUAAUGGACUACCAAGGCGACGAUGGGUAGCUGGAUCGAGAGGUUGACCAGCCACACUGGGACUGAGAUACGGCCCAGACUCCUACGGGAGGCAGCAGUAAGGAAUCUUCCACAAUGGACGAAAGUCUGAUGGAGCAACGCCGCGUGCAGGAUGACGGCCUUCGGGUUGUAACUGCUUUUAUAUGGGAAGAUUAUGACGGUACCAUAUGAAUAAGGACCGGCUAACUACGUGCCAGCAGCCGCCGUAA